GAUGAACGCUGGCGGCGUGCUUAACACAUGCAAGUCGAACGAAGUGGCGAACGGGUGAGUAACGCGUAGGUAACUGCCUGGUAGCGGGGGAUAACUAUUGGAAACGAUAGCUAAUACCGCAUACUACCAGAUGGACCUGCGUUGUAUUAGCUAGUUGGUGGGGUAAAGGCUCACCAAGGCAACGAUACAUAGCCGACCUGAGAGGGUGGUCGGCCAAACUGGGAAUGGGGAACGGCCCAGAAUCCUACGGGAGGCAGCAGUAGGGAAUCUUCGGAAAUGGGGGGAAACCUGACCGAGCAAAGCCGCGGGAGUGAAGAAGGUUUUCGGGUCGUAAAGCUCUGUUGUUAGGGAAGCGGUACCUAACCAGAAAGGGACGGCUAACUACGUGCCAGCAGCCGCGGUAAUUC
rnacentral:rRNA from 1 species